UGUUUUUUUUUUUGUUUUUUUUUUAUUCGGCUAAAAUUUAACUUUUUGUUUGCUUUGGAAUUAUUUUCAAACAAAUGAUUUUUUUCUAAAAAAUAUUCAAUUAUUGGAGAUAAUAAUACUAUAUACACAACAUAUAAUUGAAAUAUCAAAUUCGUCGUGAUUUUUAAAAGUUAAAAUUUUAAAUAUUAAAACAUUUGGAUGUAAGAUUUAAAAAGUUGUAGAGUUAAUCGAGAUCUAAGGACUUUAUAUAUAUACAAAAAAGAAAAUUAAAACUAUAUAGAAAAAAGACUUGGUCUAGGUGGAGAGAGGGUUGUAAGGUAGAUUUAGUACUAGAAUAACUAACAAUUUCGAUAAUAUGUGGAGAAGCAAAGUUCAUCCAACCUUAAUGAAGUGGUUUAGUGAAUAGAGAGAAAAGAUUUUGGUAAUGUAAAAAUUGGAAAAUCUCCAUACCAUAAGUUAUUUAUUUAUUUAUUAUAUAAUAAUAAUAAUUGGAGAAAUAUUGAAGAGGUAAGUAACAAAGAGAUGAUUUGAAGGGUUGGGAUAAUGAAUGAAAAGAAAAGGAAGGGGGAAAUGGGAUUCCCUAUAAAAUCUUUAUAGAGACGUAAAAUCAAACAAAAGAAACUGUCCAACUUGUUAGAGGACAAGACCAAAGCAAAAGGAUGAGAAUUGAGAAUUGAGAAUUGAGAAUUGAGAAGAAGCUUUUUUAUUACCAAACCAUAUUAUUGUUUCUUUCUCCCCCUCGGACCCACUCUCUUACCUCUUUCUCUUUUUUUUUAACAUAUUUCUCUUUCUUUCUUUUUACCCAACCAAGCCACACAAAAAUAUAUUUGUAUAAUCAUCUACAUUAUUAUUAUUAUUAUUACCAACAUAAUCAAACCUCUUAUAAAGGUUGAUAGUACAAUUACAGUAUCAAUUCAAUUAUAUUUAUUUUAAAACUUUUGUACUGAUAAUUAGAGUAUCUAUUCAUUGGGUCAUACUCAUUUAACUUAAAAUGUCACCUUAAACUUCAAUAUUAAUUUAUAAAGUGAUACAACAUGAUCAAAUUUUAUUGAUAAAAUGUUUGUCUCAAGAUUAAUGAAUUAUUAAACUUAGAAGUGUAUAGAAAUAUUCGGGUUAACAACAAAAUUAACUCGAUUGGUUAUCCUAACCUAAUUCAAAAAAUUCGAGUUGAACCAAAUUGAAUUGGCAUAUUGAUUUUUUUUUUCUUUUUAUUUAUAGUUUAUUUUAGGUUUAUAUAUAUAUACACACACGCAUAUACAUACACAUAAUCGAGUUGGGACAAGUCAAUUCACCUACGGUUUGAGUUACUUUUAGAUUUAUAUAUAUACACGCACAUAAUAGAGUAAUCUAGGUCAAUCUAGUUAUCGAUUUUUUUAAUAAGAAUUAUAGAGUUAUUGAAUGGUCUCUUUUGGCAUUAAGUUUAGGUGGGCUACCAAAUUUUGAAUAGAAUACAAAAAUUACUACAUUUAUCUUUCCAAAUUAUGUUUGAAGAUACUAAUAAUAGAUUUGUUUUUACCCUUUCUUGCAAAGGACAUUUUCUUCAUCUUUUAGGAGCGUUUUUGUAACUACAAUUUUAACUCGUAGUCAAUCAGUUAGAAAUAAAAGGCAAAUCUAUAUAAUUCUACUUGAUGUUCAUAAACAUAAUCUACAUUAUAUGAGUAGGUAAAUCAAUCAUUUGUGAUUCUGUGAUAUACAGAUUCAUUUCCUAACGAUUCUUUAAUUGAAAUGCUAAUUCUCCAUCGCUCAAAUGAACUGAAUGAAGAAACUUUAUUGAAUGGUGAUAUGAUUAUAAGCUAAGGACACUUUUUCUGGUACCCAUAAUCUCAUCUCGAAAAACAUAAAACCCCUUUUGACCCUCUUGCUAGGGAAAGACUACAAAAUACAUAAACCUUAAACCCUUCUCUUCAACUUGCUCUAUUAUUUUUAAGCUUUCAACAGCUAGCCAGAGUUCACUUUUCCCGACUCUCGCAAGUCUCAAGCCCAUUAACAACCGAGGGGGGCCUAAACACACUAAGUGCUCUAUAAACUCUUUCUCCACUAUAAAAAUGAAAGCCUACAAAUUUGCUUCUUGCGAUGAGACCAAAGUUGCCACAUGACAACAAAUCACGCCUAUCUAUCUUUACCCAAUCAUAACAAAAAUCCUUCAUAUCAAUCACAAAUCUAUCUAUACUCGAAAGUGCCAAUAAAACAAGAAGAUUUUCCAUAACCAAAUGACAUGACUAGAAAUUUUUUUUGUCUAUGUUUUCCUUGGUGGAAUCGUACAUGAAUAUUGUCCAAGCACAAGUCUUUGCUCUAAGGGCAACCUUGUUGACCCCCAAAUGGCCUCCACAUGGAAACAUCAUAAUCAUGGCUAGAAAAGGAGACCAGCCCUUGGGAAGGCUAUAUUCAUCGAGAGGUGAUAAGGUAAAAAUUUGCCACCCACCUGUCUUUCCAGUCUGCUCUAAGGAGUAAACAUUGGACCAAUCCCUCAUUAUCCAAGGAGCUUGGUCAAUAAAAAUUCCCCAAUAAUCACCAACUUUACACCUAAAACCUCUGACAAAGAGAUCUCUACCCCACAAAAUGCUCCUCUAGAUGAAAAGGGUGCUCGCCUAUGGGGCCAUAAGGAAGCCCCAUCCACGAAAUACUUAUCCAUCAAGAUUUUAGUGACAAAGCCAUUAGGCUCUCAAAAAAUAUUCAAGCUGUAAUUAGCUCAAAGGGGUUGGUUGAAAAAAUAACUUAAUUCUAUAUUAGUCAGUUUAUCUUGAAGUGCCCAUAUCUAAUCUAUAUACUUUCAACAAAUUUAAAAAGAAGUAUACGUUGUUAGAAGGCUAAAAGAACUUCAUACUAUUGAUUUGUUUACAACUUAGUCUCUUUUAGCAUCUACUAGAAGGCUAAAAAUUGCAUUCCAAUACUUUCCAUGUAAUUCCAUGCAAACUUACAAACUAAGUGACAUUAGCCACCUCGAGCCUCGCGUCUGGUGGCAUCAUGCAACAACUCGACAUCAACACCAUCUGGUGGAAGUUGAACAUAUCUCACCACUGAUCCCCUGAUGAAACAGUUUCUCACAGAAAGCUGAAGACAGAAUUUGAACUCCAUAAGUUUAAUGACCACCAACAAAAAAUUACAUGUUCAGCUGACAAAAUGUGAAAUAAUUGACUUAACAUCAUGGAAAAACAAGAAUCUAUACCAUUCCUAAAAUAAUCAACAACCAACAUCUGUCUUUCCACUACCAUCUUCAUAAAGUAGUUUGCAAAAAAAUUGUUUCUCUUUUCAGAAUUUAACUAAGAAUUGAGGUGUUUCUUUACAAUAUGGGAAAUCUAUAGCAAGGACAUGGAAAGAGAACAAGAGAAAACAUGAAGAUAACUCAAAUAGAAACCCCGUUACCCUCCCCUUCAAAUCAUCAAAUAAAAACAACAACAACAAUGUCAAUGACUCAAUGGUUAAGACAUCUUUAUUUCUCUAGAGAGAAUCUUCUAAUUAAAUGAAUCAAAGUAACCUUAAUACAAAAGAAGCAGAAAUGAAAAGGGGUGCCUAUGAGAAAUGGUAAACAAAGAAAAACAAAAUCAAAGUUGGCCUCGCCUCAAGUGUAGAAAAUCAAAAUAAUUGAUCAAAUAUAUUGCAUAAAUAUAAACACGUCUGGAUACCAUAUGAGGGUAUUUUUCCUGAUCAACAACCCUGGUGUUUUCCAGUUUGAUGUUGAGAUACUGAUCUACAGAAUGCAGAGUUCCUCUAAUUGCUAGGUCGUUCUUCAACUCAACUGUCACCUCUCUGCCCACCAAAUCCUUGAAGUACGAGAAAAACAACUGACAAACAAAACGCAAAUCAAAUCAAAAUCCACAUACAUAAACCAAAUAUUGAAAAAACCGUGAAGGCCAGGUUAAAGACACGAGAAGAAAAAACAAAAAAAAGAAGCAACAAGCAACAACUUGAGCACCUAAAGUAAGAUAAACAGUAACGAAAACUUAAAAGACAGAAACCAGUAUGUAAAUGGAGUUACCAUUUUCACUAGAGGUUUGAGGUGAUAGCCUUCAGUCUAUCUACGCGUGAAGAUCAACGACUGUUGAAGGUUGAAAUGUCGUCCGAGCUAUCAAUUGGGAAAACACGCCUUUUUGGAUUUAGAGAAUAAAAGAUAAUCUAUAUCUGUACAAUAGAUGAUCUUAGAAAAAACACUUUCAGUUUUAAUGAAUUAUUAUAGCGUUAAAAUAAAUUGUUUGUAAACGAUACAUAUUAUGGCAAAUUAUCAUCGUGUUAAAUGCAUAAAUUUAUUAAUCAUUAUUUACUCCAUCGAAGCAUGCCACCAGUUGAAGUCCAGUGUCUAUAUAUAAAUCUAAUACAUUAUAAUCAAAACCUGCUAAAUUAUCCCCCAAAAAAAAAACACCGAAUUCAUCUGUGAGUGGUUUUGAAUGGACAAAAAUGCAAGACAAUGAAAAUGGGAAAUGCAGUCAAGGUUAGAAAAUAAAUGAAAGAAAGUGCAAGAACAACAAGAAAUACGAGGUAAUCAAACACUAGGCAAGAGUUUAGAGAUCAUACCCAAAACAUUUGAUCUUCACAGUAUUAUGAAAUAUCAAAAUGCCAUAACAAAUAAGGAAUGGGUUUUACAAAAGACGAACCGCUAAAAAAGUGAAUAUAUCAAGAACUAACGGAUCUGAGUAAGAAAUUGAAAGAGAGAUAGUGGUUGUGAAAGAUAGAUAAAGGAGUGUACCUUGAGUGAAAACCGAUGGUUACGGUGGCGCGUUGGCAGAAAUGAAAUCUUUCUGGCGGAAAGAACGGUUUUGUCUUACGAACAGUUUUAGGGUUCUAUGGAGACGCCAACGAUGAGUCGCAAUUCUCGGGUAAUAGAAUGGGCCGAUAUUGGGCCGGUUGGGCCUAUAUUAAAACCUUUACCCAUAGAUGAUUGCGGAAAAUGUUUUUUUAAAAAAAACUUUUUUUAUUUAAUUGACUUUUUUUUUUGCCCCUCCCCAAAUUUUGUCAUUUCAUCGAAUUAAUUUUUUAAUAUUUUUUAUAUCCACGAGUUUCUAGGUCUCGACUAAUUUCAACCAACAUCCCAUUUUGGUGUCAAGGAAACCCCUAGAAAACUUUUUAAUUUGGUUCAUAUAUUUCAAUUUUUACACUUUUAAAUACGAUGUGAUAUUAGAUACUCAUCUUUUGUCUUUAGUGGUAAUAUCUAUUGACUCAUUUAACACAACUACAAUCGAUCAUGUUCAACUUUUUUUUUAUUGCAUUUAGAAAAAAUUUAAAUUUUACUUUGUAGUUAUUUUAACUAAUUAACAAACACUAAUGUGAAUAUUAAGGAAAGAAUAUAAAUUUAAAGUGAUACAAAACUUUGACCUGGAGAGUGAAAUUGUAUCCUUUUGAAACUUGUAUACCAAAUUGAAAUCAAACUCAAAAUUUGUGAACCUCAAACACGAACUAUUAGAAAUUGAAACCUUAAACGUAGAAUGAGCUAUAAUUACAUGUAUCGUUUACUUGAAAUCGAAGACCGAAACACCUAUAAAUUCUUAAAUACAUUAUAUAUAUAUAUAAUGUUUAGGAUUAUAAUUGGCGUGGAAAAGAAAUAGAAAUGGAGUUUGUAAACAGGUGAAGUAGGUAUUGGGUAACUAUACAAUUUCAAUGCUUUGUUUUGUACAUUGGAAAAAUGUAUGGCCCAUGGACCCAUCUCCCACCAUCCCCUAUCCUUCCAUUCACUUCUUUUUCAUCUCACUUUCUUCUCUAUUUUACACUCUUUUUAACCAUAAACUUUGAAACUAAACUAUUCAACAUAAGAGAUAUAUUAUUAAUUAAAGAGAAAGUUACGUGCUCAUUGGAUUCAAUUCAUUAUUCAACAUCUGAUAAUCUUAGUAAUCUCAUGUAUUUCUUCUUUGAUUUCUUUGAUCUGACUACAUCAUCCUUACUUGUCUUAAACUACUUUCAAAACUAAAAUCUAUCUCCACAAAUCAUCACAAAAUCUUUUUCUCCUCGUUCAAAUGUUUCAAGGGACCACCCAACAAAAGACUACUCUAGGUUAAGUAUACUUAAAUUUGAACCUCAUAUGAUUGAGCUACAAAAAGAAAAAUCUAACUUGUUAGUAUGGAUAGUAAAUCUUUCUAACUAUGUUUUCGUAUCCACAUAAUCUCUCCUUUUUAGAUGUGAUCUCGAUUCAUGUAUCUUUUCUAAACUCAUAUGUUACAACCAAGUUUCUUAUUUAGUUUAGAUAACGUUGUUCAGUUUGAUGAUAGGUUUAUAUUUAGUCAUAAACUUUUAUUUAAUAUUGUUAUUUUUCACAAUUUUUUCUAAUGUCUAGUAUUAUGUGUUAGUCAGCUGUCAUACUGAAGUCAUUAAAGAACAUGAAUUUUUCCUCUAAAGAUUAUCCUGGUUCAGUAUUUCAUUUAUGUAAUUGUUGUACUAAAAACAAUCUAUAGACGAAAUAUUUUUCAGUUAAAAAUUUAAAGUUAAAAGUGAAAUAUUUUUUUCAGUUAAAAAUUUAAAGUUAAAAGUUGAUAUGAGCUUUUGAAACACAUAGCAUAAAUUUUGAAAAUAAUUUUGAGAUGUCCACUUAAAUAUAAGUUAAAUGAUUAAAAUAUACUAUCUCAAUACAUCAAUAAGUUAAAUGUUGAAAUUUAUGUACCAAAAAUAAUAUGAUUGUAUUUGAAGAAGAAAACAAAAGUAAAUUUUAGAGGUGCAAUUUUAUGAUAAGAAGAAUAUUAAUGUAGACAUAAGUAAUUUGGAGCAUCUAUUAUAUGAUAUUGUUUAACUUUUUGCAAGUAUUAUUUGGAGAAUAAUAAUCCUCAUGGAUUAAACUUUAUAGGCAUUGGUAGAAGUGACAAAUUGAAUUAUUUUAUUUUAAUUUAGAAACUUUCUAAAUUCAAUGAUUAGCUUUAAUCAAUCUCUUCUUCAAUAUCAUUUUCUUGUUUCCCCCAAUCAUAUCAUUUCCAAAUCAUUUCACCUGCUAAACUCAAUCAUCAUUAUUCUACCCGCCAUGCUUUUGUUUUUGACCCAUUUUUCAAUUUUCAUAAGAAUACAUAAUUUAGGUCGCAUCUACCAAACCAUGAUGAAAAUGAAUGUAAUCGUAAUAAAAUUCUAUUGACAAAUCAAUGAAAACGAGCUUGAAUCGUAAUCGUAAUUUGAUUGUUUUUUAUCGAUCACGUAUACUUAAAGUUAUGAAUUUUGUAAAAUGUAUUGUUAUUAUUACCGUUAUUUCUAUCUUUGAGGGUCAAGCAACAUCGAUACCGAUAACAAUAAUGAUUGUUGUAAUGGUAAUUAUAUCGGAUAGAACGUAAUUAUAAUUUAGGGAGUAAUCGAAUUAAUUAAGCACCACUCUCAACUCAUCACUUCGGAUUGAGUUAUUUCAUUAGAGAUUUGGAUGGGAAACCUAAUGUUUCAUUACAAAUUGUACAACACAAGUAAUCAAACGAGAGUCAAUAAUUUUGUAUUCUCUUGUUCAUCUAUUACGUUUCCACCAAAGUAUGAACGUGACGUAGGUUUUAAGAAAAAAUUGUUAUAUAAGAACAUAUAUCAUAAAAACAAAAUCUUUUAUACUAAUAGCUAAUACAUCAUAUUGACAAGUACAUUAAACUAGUUUUGUAAUUUCAUUAUAAAAUAUCAAUAUAGACUUUUUGAUAGCAAAUUAUAAUCUUCCUUAAAAUUGAAUCUGUUUACAUUGUCAUGAUAGUGUGGGUCUAAAUUUGCAUAGAUUUUGUUUUUGAUUUUAUCAAAAAAAGAGGACUACAUAUAAGUGAAUAUCUAAUUCUUACAUACUAUAUUUGAAUUCCAAACAAAAGAAAAAUAUGUGUGUAAGUUAAUCAGAAAACAAUGUUAUGGAAGGUUUUGUGGGACUAUUGGUAUAGAUUAUAGAUCCAUUUUGUGCCACAAAUUAACUAUAGGGUAUAUCCUAUAUGAUUUGUGUGUAUGAAGUGGGAGAUAAGAAGUCGUUGUCCUAAAAAAUUAUGUUCGUUUUAGAGCUAUCUUUUUUUUAUCCAACCCAAUUUUAUUAUAAAAAAAAGCUAUUUUUUUUAUAAAAAAAAUUUACGUGAAGUUAUUGUAAAAUUUUAGUUUCUUUUGUUAUUAUGGAUAGAAGAAUGACGGUAAAAUGAUGUUUAUAAAUGGAAAACUGUCAGAAAUGACAAAUUUGAUAAAAUAUUGCGACGAUGACAAUGAGCGAUUUCAAAUGGUAUUUUAAAAUUUUAGGUUGAUGUUUGAAUUGUGGUAAAAAGUUGGAGUGGAUUAGAAGGAAUAUAAGGGUGAGAAAAGUAGUUUUAGUGGAAGUGCUUUGGAGACAUACUACCAUGACGGUUGAUUAUUUGAAAUUGUUUGACAUUUACCUUUUGUGUUUCUAUUAUUGGGCAUUAUAUAUUCUAUCUCAAUUCCACACCAUUCAAUAAUUCCUCUAGAUAUUUUUAUUCUCCAACACUGCAUAUAACCUCUAAAAAUUCCCUUCAACCAAAAACAAAAACUAUCCUAAAUGCUUUAUUUGGUCUAGAAACGAAGUAUCGAAUAAAUCGAUUAUUGUGUUUGACAAUGACAAAUCUAUAACUUGUGUCAGAAUCUCAGUACUAAAUUGUUCCCGAUCCUUUAUCAUCACUUAUGUAGACUAGUGUUCGAGCUAGGAAUGAUUGAAAUUAAGUGAAUAUAUACUUUUACUCGGACUCGAAGAAUGAAAUUAGAGAAAGGCAUUACCAAAAACUUGGAGUGUUCUUCAAGAACUCAACUCAAGCAACCAUUUAUAAGAACAAACCUUUCGUAUCUAAAUUAAAUACAUAAAAUGGCUUCGAAUUGAUAGGGAUUAAACACUUGUAAAUCUUUCAAUGUGAGACCAAAGGAAAAGGCUAGUUUUAUGACUUCAUUGUUAUUAUAUUCAAAGUGAUUGACGAGUUAUUGUUCCAACAAACAAAAGUCUCUAAUAGUAAUUUUUUAUAUAUGUAAAAAUUAAUAUAAUUCAACUGACAUAAUUUGUGUUUCGUUAUUGACUUUGAAGUCAUAGAUUCAAUUCCACUCACACUUCCUAUUCCUAUCCUACACGUGUAGAAAAAAUAAAUAGAAGUCAUUCUCAAUGUUCAAAUUUUAAUCUAUUUUUUUUUAAUAAAACUAUCAUUUUCAUUAUUUUUGGAAUUUGACUUUAAAUACAAAAUAUACCCAUGAAAGAUGAAAACCAAAGUCAUAAGAGUUGUGUGAAGACAAAUUAAAAAACAAAAAUCUAUAAACACGUAUGAAAACUAAUCAAACAAAAAAAAACCACAUAGAAUAUAAAUAUACGAGACUAAUUAAUAGUAAGAGUAGAUUGCAUGAACUACUCAUAGAGUAUGGUCGUAACUAUACAUAUUAUACUCUCAAACUUAUGCAUUUUCUUUUGUCAAAGUGAGUUUAGCUCAGCAAUAAUUGACACGAUCUUUCAUUCUAGAGAUUGAAGGUUCGAUUUUUCAUGCUUAGUUAUUGUACUAAAAAAACUUAUACACAACUUUUAAACUUUGAUUCUCAAAUAUAUGAAAUUGUAACAAUGACAUACAUUCGAGAACUCAAUAAUUUUUGUUAUUUAGAGAUCCAAUUCAUGAUUAUAAAAUGAAAGAGUUAAAUUGUAAUAUAAUAGUUUGUAUAAGUGUUGAUGGUGUGAUUACAACAACCCACAUUUGAUAUGGGCAAUUCUUGUCAAUUCUUGCCAUUUGCUCCAAUAAUAAUAAGAAGAAGAAUAACAAUAAUAACAACAUAUGCAACCAAUUGGAUAUCAAGCUUGAAAGGUACAAAAUGGAAGGAGGCAAAGGCAUUGAUUGGCAGGCAAAGCAAACACACACAUGAACACAAAACACAAGUCUUUUUUUCUUUCUUUUUCUCAAUAAAUAAUUAUAAAAAGAAAAACCCUAUUGAAAGAUAAGGCCAUCAUCACCCUUUCUUUCUCAAAAAUUUAUUAAUGAUGAAAAAUAAAUACAAGUGCUUUUUUGGGGGGGCAGAAAUAUGACAUCAUAAAUGUGAGUGAACAGUGAGUUCCAAUGAUAUGAAAAAGAAAAAGAAAGUAAGUGUGUACUGUUUAGCCAUCCCCAUGCAAUUGCUUUCAUCUCAUCUGCUCAUCCCAAAAACUCACUGUUCAUUCAACUCUAUCUCUUUUUAACUUAUUUUAAUUACAAACACAUAAAUAUAUAAGCAAAUAUAUUAAUACCCUUUCCCCCUAUAUUGUCCCUAAACUAGUCCCCUGCCCCUAUCAUUUUGGCCUACCCCACUUCUUCUCCCCAUCACUUUCACUUCCCUAUUUGCUUCCAUAACUACUACCUAGGGUUUAACUUUGUACGUAUAUACAUGUGCUUUUCUUAUACUGUAUGAUAAUUUGUAUCAACUGUGAAUUUUUACACCAUGUGUUUACUGCAUAAUGGAUGUAAUUAAAACUUCUGUGGUUGUGUUGAUAAUUUGGGUCAGUGUAGCUUUAAAAUGUAUAUAUUAUGACCUCUUUCCAAUUAUAGUUUUUGUUAUUAACUUCAUCCAUUAUUUUAACGUGACGUGAUUACUUAGUUAUUUAACGAAAACAUGGCAAGUUGAUUUCAACUUAUUUAAACACUUGAUACUGAAAAUUCAAAUGGUAGGGACAACCACAUCCAUGAAAAAAAUCAUAAAAGUUUAAAAGAAGUACGCGAUGUAACUCACCGACGAAUUUAGUAUAGAUCCACCGUUAACGUAACUUUGAAUGUUAAAAUAAAAUUGUAAAAAAUAACUUUUUGACAAUAGGGGUUGUGGAGUGACGAAUCGAACCUCAAACCUCAAAUUUCAUCACACAAAUUCAUGUAAAUUAAGCACAAACCCUAAGUUUAGGGGGAGGAAUCCUAGUUUGUCACAUAAAUUAUUGGGGGUAUACAUAUAUAUGUGGUGUGGGGUAUGUGUGAGAGGGGGUGAAUAAUGUGAAUAUAUAUAUGUGUAUAUAUUAAUGAAGAGAGGAGUUAAGGGCAGGGUGUCCUAAAAUGAGAAGAGGAAGGGGCACAUAAUGAUGGCAUUUGAAGACAGAAGUCAGGGUCAGGGGAGAAGGCAUGGAGAAGAGGACCCUUGAGAUAAAAAGAAAAGAAAAAGGUUAUACUAUAUACACACAUAUAUAUAAUGUUGUGUGUCAAUAAUAAUGAUAAUAAUGUAAAUUACUGUAUGGUAUUGUGGCAGAGGGAAGAAGGGGGUUAUUUUGUUGUUAUUUCAAAGAGAGGUUAUGUAUAAUAAAACCAAAAGUAAAAUUGGAAAAAAACAAUCACUAAUUCCAUUUUGUUGUGGGUUCCAAGAUUGGGAGACAAAACUCUUUUUUGUGUUCAACCCCUAAUUUCUUUAUAAAAAAUAAAUGUUUCUGUAGAAAUUCUGAAAAGGCUUUGGAAGAGAUGAGAUGUGAAAAAUAAUAUAUAUAUUACAUAUAGUUUAUAUAUAUUAGAAUUCAGAGGGAGGAGAAAAGAGAGAGAGACUCAUUUCCCAAUUACCAUGCACACUCGUGUUGUCUUGAAUGCAUUAAAUUAUUGCCCUUUCAAUUUAAUUCUACCCACAUUAAUUUCUUUGUCUCGAAAAUUCUAAAAAAUAUUAGGUUAAAGUACAAGUUUAGUUGGUUUGAUAAUAUUUCGUUGAAAUUUUUAUUUUUAUUUUAUGUUUGAUAUUCUUUUAUAGUUCAAAUAUGAUUAGAUAAAUAAUCUUGAAAUUAUUAAACUUAUUUUAGUAAUUUACUCAAAACCUAAUCUUUCCUAAUUCUCUUAUUUUAUAUAUUACCAAUAAUCAUGAGUUCAUAACAUUUUAAAGCUCUUAACCUAGGCUAGCUAAGAUAAUUAUACUAAUUACGUUGGUUAAUUAAUUGUGUACUUACUUUAAUAGGUUAGUACACUCACAGGGAAAAGAAAAGCAUGUUAACAAUUUUAAUUCUUCCCUAUAACAACAAUCACAUUUUUAAAUACAUUUCCAUGUUUAAAGAAUAUUGAUAAUACUUCUAGAAGUCUCGCAUAUUUAUUAAGUGUCGUUUUCUUAAUUUACUAAAAAAGUUCGAAAUAUAUUAAUUAAGGUAAAUUUAAUUAUAUAUCAUGAUAAUUUUACAUAUAAUUUUGAUCUUAAAUACAAUAUAUGAGUGUAUUAAAGAGGUAUUUCAAUAUAUCUUCUUCUAAUUUAUUUUAUCACGUAAUUAUUGUUUAAGUUUUCGAACUAGAUAGUAAAUGAUAUCUAUACCAACCAAGCUAUGUUGGGAUUGUAAUAUAAAAUAUUAAAUAUAACACCAACCCACUUGGCUAUACAUAUACAUGAAAACAUUGAACUUUCUAUUAUGAUUUUAACUUCUUUUUUUGUUUUGAUGAGUUGGGUUUAGGUUGGUUUAAUAUAAACUAUCUGAUUGGAUUUGGUUUGCCUUUAUACAACCAGAACAUUAUUAAUGGGAUUUGGGAAAGACAUUAAUUAAUGGUAGAAGCUCUAUACUUUAUUUUAUAUAUAUAUUCAAAAUUGAUUUUUGUCGUUUAUCAAUUAAAUUAGGAAGUAAAUUAUAUGUUAAUAAUUAUAGUGUAAUUAAUCAGUAUCUAUCACUCACUCUCAGAAAAUAGCUGUCAUAUAUAUGUGUGUAUGUGUAUGUGUAUUUAUUUUUGGAGAAAUUCAUUUUAGCAUUGCUGCAAGCAAAAGGUACCCUUGUUCUACGCUUCUGCCACACCCCAACUUUUUCAAACCCUUUUUCUUCACUUCCCUUUACUUUAGCCGACAUCUUAUUUUACUCCCAAAAUUACCCUCUUCUCUCGACUCGAACGUAGUUCAAUCGAUUUAAAAUAACAAUAAAUUUAUUUUAUAUAAAUAGUCAUUGUUUCUUAUGUGUCGUUGAUCAUGAAUUGUAACUUUCUACAAAGUUGAACGUUUAAAUCUUUCAACUACUUCUAGAUUUAUUUCACCGACGUUUAAGUUCUCAUAAAGUAGUUUGUCGUAGAGUCUUUGAUGUCAUUCAAUUUAUAUUUUUCUUAUUUAUAUAUGUAUAUUAAACUUGAUUUACUUUAUAUAAUUAAAGUAAAUAGUCAACCCAUAUAUAUAUUUAUAUAUCAUUUUUUUUAUAUAAUGUUCAAAGUUAAAUUGAUAUUAUUUAUUUUAUAAAAGAAUGUCAUCAGUUAGUUAGAAAAAUAAUAUAAAUUAUUUUAUAACUAAAUUAUAUGCUUUAAACAAAAGUGUAAAUAAUUUAGCAUCAUAAAUCUAAUACUUUUUAAAGAUUUUUUUUAGGUCUCUAUUUUUACAGUUGUCGUCAUACCCCGUCCAAAGCUCCUUCUCUAACCCCUAAUCUAACCCUAAAAGAGGGUACGAGAGUUAACAAACAUUGUCAUACUUGACUGUUUGACUCAUUUAAACGUCUAGUCAAGCUUUCCUCACCUAAGGUGUAUUGUUUUUGGCUCCUAACCUGAUGUCCUUAGUCAAAAUUCUUUCCGCAAGGUCACUUUGACUACAAUGACACACUAACCAUGACACUUAACAAACUUUUAAUGAGAAUUUGCUUGGGAGUUCUUAGGUCUAGAGUAGUUGUGUUGGUCAUAAAUAAUAGUAUAGUUUCAACAUAAAAAUAAUAACAACUUAACCUUAGUGUGUAUAUAUAUAUAUAUGCCACACAAAGCACAUUUUCCUUUUCCUUCCUAAUAUUAACUUGUGUUUGUAAUAAUUUUGUAUCAGUUGAAAGCUACUGUAGGUUGUCAUGUAAUUGAAAAUUUCAACUAUAUAUUUCAAUGUAAUGAAACCAACAAAAAAAAAAAAAAAAAGAGUAAAAGUGAGUGACCAUUUAGAAUAAAAUUGAAUGUGAAAUUAAUGAGUAUGGGAGUUUGGAGAGAGUGGUAGUUAUGAGAUCUUAGUCAAUGUUAGAUUUUGUUCUUAAUUAUCAUAUUUAUUAUAUAUCUCUUUCUUUUUUCAUUGUUUAUUAAAUUUUGUUAAUAUAUAUAGUUUUGUUUUGUUUUGUUUUUAUGCUUGAUAUUGAUUAUAUAUAAUCCUUAAUCAUAAAUAAUUAACAAUUAUUCUCAAUGGUUUUCUCCCUCUCCCUCUCCCUCUGAGCUGUAUAGGCUUAAAUUUUUGUGUUUAAGGUUAAUGCUUUAAAUUGAUGCUUUGAGAGAUUCCCAAACCCUAAACCCUUGGUUUUCUUCUUAUUCUUCUCUUUUUGUAUUUUAUUUGUUUGCUCACAAAAAGCCACACCCAUUUUAUAUCUUUUAGUGGGAAAUAAUUGAACUCAAACAAGUUUUCACAUAUCUAAUAAUAUACCUAUAUUUUAGGUACAGUGUGGUGUAUUGUCAUACCUAAGAAGUAUACUUAAUAAUUAAGAUGUGUAUUAUCGAUCAAUAAAACACAUAAAUUUAAGUUAUGUAAAUAUUUGUAUUGCUAAAAACAUUCUUUUAAGAUAGAGAAGUUCAAAAACUAGAUUCACACAUUUGUCAUACAAAACAUGGACCGAUGAUUAAGGUAUUUCUAUUCUUCUUCUUCUUUUUUUUUUUUUCAAAGUUUGAUUAUGUACACAAAUUGGAAAAGGGGCAACAUUCUUUGUUCCAUUAAACUCUACUACCUUUCUUCGGCUUUAAGUGGAAUUUUAAUUUUAGUAAUGUGUGAUAGGUUUAAAUAUGUUGUAAAUAUAAUAAAAUAAAUUUAUCGUUUAAAAUAAUUUCUUUGUGUUUUUAUUGAUUUUCUAUUAGGAGGGUUAAUUUGAUAUCUUACAUUUCAGACUUUCUUCACCACUAAUAACUUGAUCUAGUGGUUAACAUUAAAAUAGAGAGCAGUGACGAUAAAGUUUAGAAAACCAACCCAAGAAAUUCCCAAAAAAAAAAAAAGAAAAAGGGAAAAUUAAGGAAAUCCAAAGGCAUUGGAAUAAUUGAAAAGAAAGGUGAUGGGCUACAAGAGGUAUAAAAAUAUUAUAGGAUCAUGAAAAGACUUAACAUAAAACCUGAAAGAACUUGUCAAUGUCACUUCGUUACUUCAAAAAAGUUCUUCCCUAUAACAAAAUUUCCCUUUUUUCUUUGAAAAAAAUAUGUAUAAUGCAUGAAAAUCAAUAAUAAAAAAGAGAAGAAGAUUUAGGAAAUUUGAUUGAUUGACAAUUCAAAAAACCCCCUCUCCUUUUUUUGUUGGUCUCAGAAAUCUUUGCAUGUAUAAAGCUAAAACCAGGAGACCAAACAAUGGCCAAUUUAAAAAAUUCAGAAUUUAAAAUAAUGAUCGAUGUGGGAAACAUUAAACACGAUAAUCAAAGCAAAUGCUGGGAUUUGGAUUUGGAUUUGGCUGAUGAGAUAUAUCAGAGAAAUUGAAUAAUCUCUUUUAUGUUUUCUUUUCUCUAAAUUAAACAGAAUGUUCUCUCUCUCUCUCUUGAUUAAUUAAAUUAAUUAAUUUGUUUGUUUAAUUGUUUCUUUUUUAUAAAAAAAUUGGUAUCUCUCUCUAUCUCUCUCUCUCUUUCCCAAUCUCUCAGGGGACAACCAGCAUGUACUCUCUGACUUUGUCUUUUGGCUUUUUUCUUCCAUCUUUAUUUUAGGUUAUUAUCAUUUUCCCCCCUACUUAUUACUACCCAUAUAUUCAUAUAUAGGUUAAUUUCAGUGUUUUAAUAUGUCCAGGUCUUGUUUAUAUUCAUUUCUGAUCCCAUCUUUGAUGUCAAUGAACAUAUAUUAUGAACUAAAAAUAAUGACACGAAAAGAAAUUACAACUUAAUGAAAAUUUUAACCUUGAUGAUAAUAAUAUAUAAUACCUUUUUUUCUUCCUUUUUCUUUUUGGCAGGGGGUAAAAAUUUCCACUUUUUCUCAGUCUCAGCUCUCAGCUUUCUGCUUUCUUUCCAUUGCUUCAAAUGCUAAAUAGUUUUUGGAAACUGAGGUUUGGUUUCUUUGGGGUUUUGUUGGUACUAUUUUUGUGUGUGUUUCUUUGCUUUUGGUAACUUUACACUGUGUAUAUAUUUGAACUUUUUAUUCAAUUUAAUCUGUUGAGUUUCAUUUGUUAACUGUUAGUUUUUUAAAAUUAUGUUGUGAUUUUUUUUAUUAGUCUUUUUUUAAAAAUGAGUUGAUGAAUCAAUCCUGAGUGUAAUUCGUAAAUAAGAUUUUGUAAAACUAUUUUUCAUAAUUACUUAACUCUUAAAUUUAUGUUUAAAUUUAAAAAUUAGAAAACAAAUGAUCAUGAUACGAAGUUCUUAUCUUUUUCUUUUUCUAACUUUCACAGAAUGUAACUUUUUUAGUUUUAAUGUAAAAAGAAAAAAGGUUGUUCUAAUCUUUAUUAUAUUAACCCUUGUUUAUGGAAGCGUUAAAGAAAUUCAAUCAAUCUCACAUCUAGAUUUUGUAAAAUAAAAUUAUGCAAACAAAACAACCUCUAAUUAAUUAAAGGAACACUUUACUAGACACAAAUGUAAAAAAUUGAACCAUACACAUGAAAUUGAAACAAGAAUAUAAUUUUGAAAAGAAAAUAAAUAGUAUUCUCUAACCUCUAAAUUUCAUUUUAUUUAACAUGAAACAAAGUUAAGUAAAUUAAAUGAUUAUUGAUUGAUAACUUAUUACAAUAGGUUUAUCAACAUGAGCUCAACCCGAUUGACAGGAAGAUGAAAUUGUUGUGUUUAAAAGAGACACAACUCAAAGCUUAAACAACCCCAUACCAAAACUUAAUUGUGCAUCAAAACAUCACAUCUCUAUCUCUAUCUUUCUCUCCUCAUUCUUUCUCUUUCUCUCACUUCUUAUCAAUAUAUUACACUGUACUCCCCAAAGUACACAAAAGCCUAACACUCAAAAAGCAUAAAGAAAAAUAAAACCUUUCAACCCUUUUUUCCAUUUUGCAAUUCCCUUAAUCCAAACCAUGACGGACCCAAAUUACUCCUCCAAUUCCUUCAAUUUCAUCCAUCUUCCUCCUUCCAAUUUCCUCCUUUCCCAAUGCCGUCGCCCUACUCCUCCUCCGCCACCGUCAUCUCCGCCGCAAGCCCUCCCUCUCCUCAACACCCUCUCGCCGGAAACCGCCGAUCAUCCCUCCUCCUCCACCACCACUCGUAGUUACGAUGACGAAUCUGCCGUUCUUGCUCUUGACAUCAGCCUCUCUUGCCCUAGCUCCGAUCUAGACUCCUUCUCGCCAGACCCCGGCACCGGGAAAAUAAUCGACGGCGACGUUUCCGACCACCCUUUGCCGAUCUCCGGUAAGGGUCAGUACUGGAUUCCGACCCCAUCGCAGAUCCUCAUCGGUCCUACUCAGUUCUCUUGCCCUCUUUGCUCUAAAGCCUUCAAUAGAUACAAUAAUCUUCAGGUAAAAGUUUUCAAUUCUUUUUUUGGUUUUAGUUUUAUUUAUUAUUUUUUUUCUUGGGGUUUUGAUUUAACGGUUCAAGAAAUGUUCUUUGUGUCUUCCUUUUUGUGUACUUCUUUUGCAAGAUUGAGUUAUUGCAUUGAGACUAUGAGUGAGUGUUUUUCUUUUUCUUUUCUUUUCUUUUGUGGGUUUUUGCUUUUUUGAUCAGUCUGAGAAAUUGAAGUGAUCUGCUGCAAAACAACUGUUUGACAUUUAUGAUUAUUUUUUUUGAGAACGGUGAAAUAGUGAAGUAAUUAUGGGGAGAAGGGGUUUUUUUUCUUUUUGGUGUUUAAAAAUAUUUCAAAAACUUCUCUAAAUGGUAGAAUUGAUUAAUAUUUUCUUUUCAUUCUUUUGGGAUUUAAAGGAUUUGAAUUGAGUUUUGUUAUAAAUAAUAUAUUAGAAUUGUGUUUUUUUGGUUGAUUUCAGCUCUCUUUGAUACGACUUCGUUGAAAUGUAUUCUUCCUUUCCCAUAAUUUUUUAGUGUUAAAAAUUUGAUAACUCAAAAAGUCCAAUCAACCCAACCUUUGGAUUUUCUAUUACCUAAAUAACUUUCUGAUGUUCAUGAGUUUGAUUGGUUUAUAACUUUAAUUUGCCUAAAAUUACUCAAAUUAACCCUAAAACUUAUUAUUAGUUUUCAAAUGUGUAUAUAUAUAUAUUUUUACUUAUUAGAAUAAUAUUAUAUAUUCAUAUAUUUAUUUGAAUGUUGUACUUUUUGUUUGAUGACUUAUUCCCAGCAACUCCUAAAAAUAUUGUUUUUAGCAAUUUAGAAAUAAAAAUUUCAUAAGAUAAAAAGAGAAAAUAGAUUCCAAGAGUUAUUUCAAAUCUUAGUCAACACCUUUAAAAACAAAUAAACAAAAAAGUUUCUUUCUUUUUUCUGGGUUGGGAAAUCUAGGUGAGAUUUUCAAAGGAACUGUUAGUAAAACAAUAUUUGCUUCUUAAAAACUAAAAUGGGAUUAAUUUCUGAAAGCAGAAAGAUAUAUAUAUAUAUAUACAUAUUCACGUUUUCUUUACUAAAAAUGUUCCUCGUUUUUCAUAUCACAGCAUAGGAAAAAUUGCUUUUUCUACUGUUAUUAUUUCAUUCUCCUCUCAUAAUUUUCAUACAUUAUAUCAGAACAAUAGUUAAAAAAUGUAAUAAUAAACAUUCUUCCAUUUUAUUUGGAAGUGUUCUCUUUAGAAAAUAACAGUGAAGGACAAAACAAUAACAUGUUUUAUUAUGAUAUAUACUUUUAAUAAUGUUAUGGAAUGACUAUUUUAUAUGAUUACAUUUUAAGAUAUCUAAUUAAUGAAGAGUCGGGACUGUAUAUAUAAUGAAAAUGAAUUGACAAAAUUAGUUAUAGGGAUAUGUAGAGACGAAAAUGAAAACAAAACCCACCAGUUCAGGAAGUGGCGACGUUUUUCUUUUCUUCUUUUAGAAUAUUAUCUUUUCGGUUCAAAAGUUCUUACGAAGCAUAUGUGCAUUUAGUCUUAAUUUUUUUAGAAUAGAUGUAUUUGUCUCUGAGAUUCAAUAUGUAUAUACUUUUAGUUGUUGAACUUUUUUUUUUUAAUAGAUUUCUUAGACCCUUGAAGUGUUUUUUUUCUAAAAAUAAAAUAACAAAAUAUGCUGUUAAAAGUUAAUAUAUAAGUUAAUUUUAGAGUUAAAGAGAUAGUUCUUUUAGAAAGUAUUUUUUCCAAUUUAAACCAAUAAAACACCUAUCUUAAAAUCGUAGUGGCUAAAAGACGACGUUUUGAGAUGUUCAAACAUGGCGAGAAUGUUGAGAACAAGUUAAUGUAGUUGAUGGAUAUUAAGAUAUACCUAUCUAACCCUCUCAUUCUAAGAAAAACGACAUUUUGUUAUCAUAGUAAUACCGAACACAAGUCCAUAUUUUUCAAAAUUCGAGAACUUUGUUUCAUGAGUUGAUGCUUUUAAGUUAACUAAAUAUGAUUGUUUGACAUGCAGAUGCAUAUGUGGGGACACGGUUCACAAUACAGAAAAGGACCAGAAUCACUCAAAGGCACACAACCAACCGCAAUGCUAAGGCUACCAUGCUACUGUUGCGCAGUUGGUUGCAAACACAACAUAGACAACCCUCGUUCACGCCCACUCAAAGAUUUCCGAACCCUCCAGACACAUUACAAGCGCAAGCACGGCAUCAAGCCUUUCACUUGUAGAAAAUGCACCAAAGCCUUUGCUGUUAAGGGCGAUUGGCGAACCCACGAGAAGAAUUGUGGCAAGAUUUGGUAUUGCUUUUGUGGCUCUGAUUUUAAACAUAAACGCUCCCUUAAAGACCACAUCAAAGCCUUUGGUCGCGGCCAUGGUGCCCUUGGCCUUGAUUACUUUGACGAUGAUAAUGAACCCUCUCCUGAACUCGAUGAAGAUCAUCUCUUUGUUCGCCUUCGUUAAUCACGUCUUCUCUCUCUUUUUGUUGUGUGGUUAAAUAAUAUAUAUGAUGUUUGUUGUUGUAAUUUGUGUUGUGUAUAUGAGGAGGAAGUUGAGAUGGGGGACUGUGAUACAAAGGUGCAAAUUGAAAUAUUGAUUUAGUUGUAAAAUUUUUGAUAUGAUGUCGAUUUUUAUGGCAAUUUAUAAUAUAUGAAUGAACGGAUUAUGACCCUUGAUGUUUGAUCAUAAAUAUGGAAACUCGGUUUCCAUGUAGAUAUUUAAUAUUUUUUUUAUAAGAAAAACGUAGAGUUGUGUGAUUUUGUGUGUUAAUAAAAAUUGUUUAUUAUAGCUCGUUAUCUUUGUGUAUACUACAUCCAAUCAUUUAAUUAUAGUUUGUCACACGAUAAACUUUUAUUGUUUUUUUUGUGUGUUUAUGUAGGAUUAGAGUCGUUGGAAUUAAAUACUCUACCACCUUUAAACAUUGUUCUUUAUUUAUUGUUCGAAUAAACUCGUUGUACUUCCUUUCAAAAGUGUGAAUUCAUAGUAAUAUUGACCUAUAAUAAAUUUAGAUUGGUCCAACCAUUCACUUGUGACCGAUUCAUGAUGUAUUUACUUUUGUGACUUUUUCCUAACCUUUGUCUAUUUCACAAUGUUCAAACUAACUUAUUGCAUGAAAUACCACACAAAGGUCAAUUAGAAAAACAAAAUUAGAAUAAACCAAUUGUGGUUAAGCACCUAUUCAUGUAUGUAGUUAAGGUGGUGUUUGAGGCAAUAAGUAUUUAAGACGUAGUAAUCAUCAUUUACUACAAUAAAUACUAUUUAAAAAUUUUCAAUUACUUACGUUUAACACUAUUUUGAAAUUAAUUUUUUUUAUAUCUUUUGCUAUUUGGUGCAUUUUUUUACUAUUUUAAUUCUAUCAAUUUUUAUUAUUUGGUACAUAAUUUAUUUUUUUCUCAAACUAAAGCAGUUUAUACCUUCGACGCAUAUUAUUAUUAACCAAACUAAAAUAGUUUAUACCUUCAACGCAUAUUAUUAUUAACCAAACUAAAAUAAUAUACGUGAUCGAGUAGUAAGAUAUAAGCCCUAGGGGCAAUAUUGGGAUAUUCUAAAAACAAUAGGGUUAUUAUAGUAAAUUUGUUCCUCGUUCCAGAAUGGGCCGAGGAAAGUUCGUGGGCUUUAUUUAGCCUCUCGUUAUCGGCUCUACUCGAUCUCUAACUCAUCCCUAACCUUGGAAUCUCAUUGUUCUCUGUGAAACGAAAUUGAAUGAGUGCUUCCAUGGCGUUAGCGCCAAGCUUAAAUCACAGCCCCAGGUUUCCACCAUGGAACGGAUCAAAGAUCGUGGCCUGCUCAAACUCAAUCAACCCUCCGAUAAAUUCCACCAGUUUCCAAUCAUCCUCCGUCGCGAAACGCUGCUUACGGUGCCAUACCGUUUACUCGGAUGUCGAUAAUUCUCCUUCCGCUUGCGUCUUCCAUGGCCACAUCACUGGUUCGUAACGUACACUCGAAAUUUUAAAAUUAGGUCUUAGAUGUUUUUCCGAAGAGUGGGGAUUCGUCUUCACAGUUUUUAUAUUCUUUUGAGAAAAGCUUAUAUUGAGGUUGAAAUAGUACGUGAAUCUGGUUUUAUUAAUAGGGGAGAGGGGGUUGUUUGCUUUGUCGCCCCCGCACCAGGGGAUUGACGGUGAAUGGAGUGACGGCUCCGGUGUGAUCGUUUAUAAAUGGAAUGAUAAAUCAAAUCGUCCUAACUCCGGAACUGGCAACUGGAAGAGACGGUGGAGUUGUUGCUCCGAGUACGAUGAACGUGCACCUCCUUGCCGUCGGGGAUGGCACGUUUCUUACGACGAUGGGUUCACUUUGUAUUAAUAGAAUAGAGUGUCGUCUCUGCCAAUAAUUAAUGGCAUUUGUAUAAACCGUAAGAUUGAUGGCAUUCGUAAAUUGCUUGAAUGUUAUAAGAAGUGUAUUGUAAAGUGUAAAUUGCUGGGAUGUUAUGAAAAUUAUAUUACAAACAGAUUUCAAAUACACGCUCCAAACAUUGAAUCUCAAUCAUGUUACAUUACAAAAAUAAUCUCAAUACAGGCAUCAAACCUAAAUUAGGCAUGUAAGGUUGAUCAACCUUGCAUGAAGUAAAGAUGUGAACAUCUAAGCUAAUGUUGUGAAGUUUUAAUCAAAUUUGAGUAACGUUCAAAUUCGCAACUAACAAAUUAAACAUUAGCAUAUAUUUAAUUAAAACUUGCUAAAUUUACACAAGUCAUCUUCCAAAAACAUUAGAUUGUAUGAACAAAAUUCUCAUAAAACAGAGACGAGAGAGAUGAGUGUGAAUGGUGAAAAAAAGCAUCCGAUUCUCAUCAUUCAAGAAUAAGCAUAUAUAUAUAUGUGUGUGCAUAACAACAAAUUCAUACACUCUCCGAUCAAAUCUCCGGUGACGCCACAAAAGCUGCCUAAUACGAUCCCACCGUCUUGAACGAAUCAUGAACAUGCCGGAGCAUAUCCUGGUCCCGAUUCCACUCCGGCGUCGGCGCAUUCACAAAAUGAGCAUACAGCUUGUUCUUUGCACAAGUCACCGAGAUCAAACUAUGAGUUCCGGCGCCGUCGAUCUCGUACACAUAAUAAACCUGUCCAUUCUCAUCCUUCUUCUCUUCCGCCAAGAAGCUCUCGGCGCUCGCGAUUUGAUCCUGCAAAUUCACGUCCGAUAGAGCCAGGUUAUUCAGAAUCACAUCCUUCGGCCCUAAUUGCCGGAUUCCAGCCAGGAAAGUUAGGUAUUCUUUCUCUGAUCGUUUCUUCGGAUUGUAAAAUUCACUAUCGGUUCCGUUGGUACCUGCGGAAAUUAGUAGGUAGAAUUAAUUUUCGGAACGAAUUGAGCUAUUAGAUAUCUUUAAUUUAGGGAUUUUGGAGUACCUUUUUCGACUUUGGAUACUAAUCGCUCUUUCCAUCCUUCCGGCACGUCGUAGAUGUAUUCUGCUGUGUCUUUCUUGUUGGCGUUGCCACCAAGGCCACCGUAGUUGGCGGCGCUGGCGGCAGUGCCAUAGUAGACAUUGAAAGCGGCCCCGGUAUCGGCGAGGGAGGGUGUAGCGGUGCUAAGGAUCGCGGCUACGGCGAUGGCAGUGGCUGCGAUGGAGAUUGGGGCAGUUGAUGAAAGUGGAGGUUUGGAUUGGAGAAUGGGAAUUUGGGGCUUUGGUAACGAUGAAGCUUGCGGUGGUUUUGGGGCGGUUGUGCCGGUGGAGGUUAAGAACGCCAAUGGCGCGAUUGCUGUGGCCAUAGUGAUUGAUUUUCGUGGAUUUGGGCUUCUGGUGUAUCUCCUCGAACAGGAUUUUCUCCUUAUCCAUUCUUUUUCUAUUUUCCUUUAUUUUUCUAAAUCGUUUUUUUUAUUUUUUGAAUUUAUGUACUUUUUUUUCUAUUUUUGUAGAAUCCCAUUUAACUUUAUAACUAACCCCUAAUUUAUGUCUUUACUCUCUUCUAUGGCUUGCUCACGUUGAUGAUAUCACAUCACGACGAAUUAAGUUUUUCUUUUUCUUCAUGGUUAUUAAAUUUUGUUUUUACAUUCACCAAAUUGAAUUUAAAAUCCAUUUAAUAUAACAUUAAUUAACUAUUUGUUAAAUUUAGAUAAAUACAAGCAAAAGUCAAAAGCUUGAUGAAACAACUAAUUAAUAUACGAGCAUAUGUGGAUUGAGUAGUAGGUGUGGAUGAGAGAUUGUUAAAAGAGAAUUGUGAGGAAGUAGUAUAGUGGCGGAAGCUAACCACCUACUUUUCUUCCAUCUGCGAGCCCAUUAUCCAUGAUCCCGCAACUACUCUACACUUUGGGUAUUAUCCCACGAUCAUAACCUACUCAUGAGUAAUUAUCUACGUUUCGAGCAUAACUCAACUCUCACACUAACAAAGGUAAUCCCCAUUACGUGUCAAGGAGUUAAUGUCUCCAAUAAAAAAUAAAAGAAAAAUAAUUAAAUGUAGCUUGGACAUCACAUACAUCUCACAUAUUAUCUAAUUUACGUAUUAUCUGGAGUUGGAGAGUAGAAAGGUGAUCCUAAUUUAGAGAGAUUGUUUUUUAAAAAGAAAAAUAGAGUAGAGAAGUGGAGGUUGAAAACUCCGCCAUGUAUAUUUACGUAUUAACUCUUCUAACAAAAAAGAAAUGUAACGGUCACUAUUCUUACCUAAACGGACAAAGAAACCCAACCAAUUAGAUAUUUUAAAGCCAUCAAAUAAAAAAUAAGCUUAUUACAAAAAUGCCCUCGAAUUCACCAUGCAAUCUCCCUUUUCCGGGCAGGGGUAUUUCGGGAAUUAUCCCUAAAAUGAAUGGCCAAUGGUUAUAUUGCAUACUGACCGCCAAAAAAGCCCUAGGUACAGCCGUACAGGCGCGAGCCAUAGCUUUUUCUUUUUCCCUUCUCCGAUUGAAUUAUGCACUCCCUUCAUUUCCUUCAUUUCUCUUCCUCUUUUCAUUUCCCUCCACUACCUAUAUCUUUUUCAAAUCUUCUCUCACUUCUUUAAUCAAUCAAAAUUUUUCAUUUCUUUUUCUUUCCUUUUUAUUUCAUUUCAAUCCGUUUCUCUUCUUUCGAUCGCCAUGUCUAAAAGGUCAGUUUCUCGCUUUGACUAUGCUUCUUUAUACGUUCUUGUUGAUAUUGUCUCUUGUUUUUCAUGAGUUUUGAUGAUUGGAUUAUGGGUUCCGAUAAUCGCUUCUUGAUAUUGUUUUUUUCAUCAUGGUUCUUUGGUAUCUUGGUUUUGUUUAUUAGGUUUUGGGCUAUUUCGACGGGAUGGGUUCUUUAACGUUUGGAAUUUACGUUUCAUGAAAAGUCCUUUUGUGGGGUUGUUAUUGAUGCGUUUAUUUGAACUUUGACUUGUUGUUCGUACGGGUGUUAAUUUACUUUGCUGGUUUGUUUAGGGUCUUAUGCAAGUAUUUUGCGCAUGGAGCUUGUUUAAAAGGGGAAUAUUGUGAGUUUUCUCAUGACUGGACGGCUCCACCAAGCAAUGUAAAUAUUACUUUCUCUCCUCUGUGUUGCCAUAUACUAUAAUGGUGUUCAGACUAUUGUUUCUUUCUGAUGCAUCGUCCAUAACAGGUUUGUACUUAUUAUCAAAAGGGAAGGUGUGCUUUUGGCAGUCGAUGCAGAUAUGAUCAUGUUAAAGUUUCUCACGCCGAAUCAUGUUCGAAUGUUCAGCAAUCUCAUGGGUCUGAAUCUGUUUCUGUAGCUCAUUCUCAAUUGUCAAGGCCACUUUCUCCCUUUUCUGGAUCUACAAGCGAGCUUGCUAGUUCAGAGAUACCCAGUCUUCCCUUGCGCGAAGAAGCUGCUUGGAGUGGAGAGUUUGUGCGUCCAGACGGUCUUGAUGAUUGGGUGAAUGGGGAGGCAAGGGUUGUUGGUCCAGCUGAUAUACCUAUUUGUUCUUUUGCUGCGGCUGGUGGUGACUGUCCGCGUGGUGAAAAUUGUCCUCAUAUUCAUGGGGACUUAUGUCCUACAUGUGGAAAACAGUGUUUACAUCCUUUUAGGACGGAUGAAAGGGAGGAGCACUUGAAGGCAUGUGAGAAAAAGCAAAAACAUCUAGAGUCUUUGAAACAUAGUCAAGACAUAGAGUGCAGUGUUUGCCUGGAGCGUGUGCUUUCUAAAACCGAAACAGCAGAGAGGAAGUUUGGGAUUCUAUCAGAAUGUGAUCAUCCAUUUUGCAUUUCUUGUAUUAGAAACUGGCGCAAUAGUUCAUCUACCUCUGGAAUGGAUAUUAAUAGUGCCUUAAGAGCCUGCCCAAUUUGUAGAAAGUUGUCAUACUUUGUCAUUCCAAGUGUCAUUUGGUAUUCUUCAAAGGAAGAAAAGCAAGAGAUUGUUGAUAGCUACAAGUCAAGGCUGCGGUAAAUUUAUGUUCUUUUAUUUCUAAUUUGUGAAUGCAUUAUGGAAACUGUUCAAUUGCUUUCCAUUAUGUUCACGUUUUCUGCUUCCCUUUUGUUAUGUUUUGUUUUGUGUGCGUGUGUGUGUUUAUAUAUAUAUAGAUUUAUUUAUUUAUUUAUCAAACUCAAUUUAGUAAAUUGAAGUUAUUACAUAUCAAAUGUAAUUGUACGAACUAUUAUUUAGAGAAUGGAAACUGCAUAACUACUAAAGUAAACUGCAUAACUGCUAUUAUUUGAGAUGAUUUCGCUACUCUAAUCUGUGAGUUUUUAUCAUUUUCAUAUUCAGAUCAAUAGAUUGCAAGCACUUCAACUUUGGAAAUGGGAACUGUCCUUUUGGAUCCAGCUGCUUUUACAAGGUAAGUUUACCUCUGAAAGCAGUCACUUCAGUUUCCUUAUCCUAAUUGUACUCUUUCAAGCAUGAUGGAUGUUUUUGUACCGCCUUUUGUGUUGUGAGGACUUUCCUAUUUUCCUGAAUUUUUAUUGUUCUUCAUUUUCUUUUCAUUAUGCCCUUGUCCAAAUUGUUUUCUUUACCUUUUUUAUUGAUCAUUGAUAUGCAGCCUGCUGAAUGAAAAUCUCGACCUGUUUGGUUUUGCUAAUCUGCAUACGCCCUAGGAUAUCUGUUAAAUAGUACAUGCUUGCCUACUGGACAUGAGUUUACUAGAAGAAAUCCUUUUUGAGAUCUGAAUAUGGAUAUCUAGUAUAAUGGAAUAUUCUUUUAUCCUAAUUAUUUUCCGUUGGUUUCAUAAGCACCCCCAUCUGCCAUGGCUAUCCAAUCAUGGCUGGUUAGAUAAGGCUCAAUCAUACUCACAUGACUUUUUUUAAUUAAUUUAUUUAAAAAAUGAUAGUUCUGUUUGAGGGGUGGCUAAGAAUUUAAAAGCGCUUUUAAAAUGUGUGAGCUAAUUUUUUUACUUUACUUGAAUUUUUUAAUAACCAUCUUCUUCAUUUUUCUAUUUAAAUUUUAAGAAUGUUUAAAAAAUCUAAACCUACAUUUGAAACAGAAAAAAAUCCCCAAGAACUAUCAUUUUGUUUUUAAAUUUUGGUUGAGAAUCUUCAAGUGUUCUGAACCCCUAUUUGAAACCAUUUCAUUUUUUUUGUUUUUGUUUUUGUUUUUUUAAAUUAAGCUUGCACACACCGUUUUUAUCUAUGGGUUUUAUUAUGUAAUCUACUUUUUAUGAGUUUUAAAAACCAAGCUAUGUUUUGAAAACAAACUUGUUUUUGUAUUGAGAUUCAACCUUUCAUUGGUCUGAUUUGGAAGUCGCAUAUAUUUCUAGGAGAUAUGAAGACCACUAUGGAGAAAUGAUGUGAAAAGAAGCUAAUUUUUCAUUAACUAGAAACCAAAUGGUUAUCAAAUAGGGCCUAAAAAUAUAAAUUAGGAAACGAUCAGCAAUCUUGCUUAAUAUUUGCAAUUACUUUUGUCAUCCCUCUUCGAUAAUUUCUAUGGCUCAAUUCAGGUACAAAGUGAUGUGCUGACUACUUUGCCUGGUUGGCUCUGCCACCUCUAUGUAGUUGUAGUAGUGUAGUAAUUUAGUCUUAGUUAAAUUCCUAGUAAGAAAAAAUUAUAUAUUUUGGACACCGAGAUUGUGUUGCUAGACCUGCUACAAUUGAUUGAUGGGAUCCCUCUGAUUCAAAUUAAUAAUAAGUUAUAUUCCUACAGACUAACAGGUGUUUGAUUUGAAAGUGUUAUCAUGGGAAAAUAAAUGUAGUUUAGGACUGUAGCAAGGCUGGCGGGACCUCUCCUAAACUGCAAUCUGUUAAUCUAUAUAUAUACUUCAUUUGCCAGUCCUCUGCGCUCGUCUAUUUUAGAAAGAACAAAUGCAACUGCUGUGUCACAUCUUCUUCAUCUCAUAUGAGUGUUGCAAUCUCAACAACCCUUAUAUUUUUUGGUGACGUGUCAUAGGUGUCACAUAAGCAGUGCUGUUGCUGUUCAUUUUCAAUCAGUUUUUGUGGUAGAUGUUGAAAGAUGUGAUUCAUAGUGGAUUUUAUCUUCAGAUCUAUUCGCAUUCUGUUUGUCAUUUAAUUUCAUUAGAGCAGAUUGGCUUUCCAAUGAUACAAUGUUUGUUGUGUUCCAGCAUUUGGUCAUUCCUGGUUCAUACACAUGGAAAUAUCACAGGCCACCUCCACGCCAACCACAAUCAUGGAGAACUCCUCCAAGCAGAUCUAAUAUUGUCGAUAUGGAUGCCUUUUUUGAAAUGUUCGAAGACUUGGAGGAUUUGGAUUUUAGUGAUGAAGAUUUAGAUUUUGAAUAUUUAACACUUUUGGAGAUGGCACUAAUGCAGUUGGGUUGUGAAGCUAACUCGUCAAGUGAUGAAGAGUCAUAGUUCUUGGGCUACAGUUUUCUUCUUAGGUUGUUGUAACCUGAUUUAUGUUGGGUGUUUGGCGAGUUUCUUCUAGUCUUGCCAAAAAACUUUGAAUAUUUGCUUCUCUGGCAUUUUUGGCCACCUAGCAGUGCUUUUGUGCAGUAAGAUAAGCUUGUAGACUUUUUUAAUUAUCAUAAAUGCCAUGUUAAUGGGGACUCGUACUUUGCAAAAGGCAACAGUCAUUUGUCCUGGGGAAAAUUAGUUACCAAGUUAUCAAGAUGACGAUGGUCUAUUUAUGGAAGAACCUUUUCUUUGCGUAGAUUAUAAUAUGGCUUCUUAAGUGUUGUAUUUUACUACUGGGAAUUAGGAAUAUCUGCUACAGCUAUCUUCUUCGUUCCUAGAUUUUACGGAGAGUUCCAUUUCUAACCCUCUUGCUUACCAAAACCAAUUGUGUGCUCCUUAUGUUGAUCCUUAACAGAUUGGUUGUUUAUUAUCCCAGUAUGCUGGUAAUUUGAAGUGAAUGUUCGAUUAAUAUGUUCUAUUAUCUAUGAAGUAGUUUUUCCCAUAUGUGGACUUUUGCACACGAUGAUUGUUUUUUGAAUGAAGCCUUAUCUGUUUGCAACUGGGACGUGUGUUGCUUCUUUACUUUCAUUCUUGUAUGCAUUUUUUUUUGUGACUAGCUGUAUUAACUUCAAAAUGAGAGUCAAAUUUUCAAUGUGAUUUUCUCACUGCAGCAUGCACAUCGGGAUGGUCGGUUGGAAGAGAUAGCUCUGCGUCAUAUUGGGAAUGAAGAUGGUCUCACUGUUAUAGCUAAAAAUCUUAGGUCUUGAUUUGUGCAUUGCUUUAUAUUGACCAUUUAUUGUGCAUCUUUUACCUUAUAAAUUUGAAGCUAUUUUCAGGUUGUCGGACUUUCUCAGUGACUUGCAUAUCAGGUGAAGAAUCCUUCAUUCAGGUAUGGAACACACUAACCACUCAUCCUUUGACCCUGAGGUUGAAAGUUCAUACUUUAUGCCAACUUUUGCUAUCUAUUAAAUAUUUCGCAUUUUAAUAUGAUUAAUCAUUUGCCUUUAUGGAUGGGGUAAACUUCAAUAAUUAACCUUGAAAAUAUCAAUUGAAACUCAACAUUUAUAUUAGAAACAGAGCGAAUUAAUCUUCUGGCACUGUCGCUAUCACUAUAUUUCAACACUUCUCUGGCUCUAAAGAGUCCAUGAAACGCUAAACUCUUUGCAUUUUGUAUUUAUCUUGAGUUACAAUAUAUUUCACCUGUCAUUUAAAUAUCUUUUUUAUUGUUGGUCUUCGUUAACACUUGCAAUGUAAUCGAAGAGUUUGAAAAACCCAUUUCAGAUGUCGAAUUGCUUGGUCUGAAGGUCUGAUAUUGAGAAAUGGAAGGUGGGGGUAUCGAACACGGUGCUUCAAACUUUGUGUUCUACAAUAUCAAAAUAAAGCUAAAGACAUUUAUGUCAUAGUGAGAAAUGAAUGUUGGAAACCCAAGCUUGUUCUUCCAAUGAUAUGGUGAAAUAAAGAAUCAUAACAUUCACAUCUCACAUGUUGAAUUUCAGCUGAAUAAUAUGUAUGGGUUCUACAAGUUGUACUAAACAACUGGAAAGUCACAGAAUGUAUUUUGGUUUGGUAUUUUAAAAGAAAGAUAUGUGGGAAUGUCAAUGUUGUAUUUUGUUUUAUACAGAAACAAGUAGAAAAAAAAAAGUAGCAUCAGGAUUUGCCUUCGGAUGAGACUUAGUACUCAUCAAAUUUACAAUAAAAAAAACUGUGAUUUUUUUUCUUCUUUUUAUUGUCAUUUUCAUUAUCAUUCUCUCUUUCUGUUAGUGAUGAUUUGUUGUAUUAGUCAAAUAUUGUUUCCUUCUUUCUCACCUGAAUGAAUCAAAAUACUUGUACAAUUAAUAUAUGUUUCUAGAUGGUUAUUUUUUGCUAUAUUUGUCAACAUCUCCGUAAGUUUUGUCAUUUUUUGAAUAAUUUAUAAGUAUUAGUUUAGUCAUUUUAUCAUGUGAUUACAAAGUCUUAUUUAUCAUUAGCUUUACUCGCACAUCCGACUGUAGUUAUCACCUUUAAAUUUGUGAUGAGGUCGUUACAUAACGAGUUUUAUAUAAUUUGUAAGAAAUAUUUAAAAUAAAUUGAGAUUGCAACCACAUAUUUUUUUUUAUUUUUCAAAGAUGAAAAGAGUUUGUGAAAGCAAUUUGAGGUUACGGUCUUUCAUAAUUUAGUUCGAAUUUCAAAGAUGCUGUUGGCUUGUAAUAAUCUUUCAAAUAUAAAGUCUCGAUUACUUUUCUUUCUUGCCUUCAAAAUUCUUCGGAUAUUGUUAAUUAUAAAGUAUGCAUUCACACUUUAAUUUAUUCAUACUAUUUCAUUUCUAAUUUUGAGCAUUUCUUUGUCAUUUAAUUUUAUGCCAUUCAAUUUCGAUUUCUCAUUUUGAAAAUCUUAGCAAUGUUUUGGAGUAUACGUUACUUUUCUAAACAUGAGGCCAUUCUUUCUAAAAAAUUUAGGGUUGGCGAGUUAUAUAAACAAUUAAUGUUAUGUAGAUGUUUACUUUUAAUUAGAACCUAGAGCUAUAUAAUUAAUUAUUACUCGUUAACAAAAUAUCUUAUUAAUUAUGUGUAUGUAUUUUCCUUGGAAAAUUAAUAAGAGAAGGGAUUGAUAAAAAAUAAAAUAAAAAUAAAAAUACAAGUUGUUGUUUCAUUGUUUUGAGUAAAUAUGCAAAAUAAUUUUAAAUGACUUUAACUAACUAAUUAAUCAAAAUACAUUCAAAUAUCAGUUUUAUAUAUUCUUAUUAUAUUUUGGAUUUUGUUUAUGCAAUUUCAUUAUCUAAUAUAUGUUUAAAUGUAUUCUCAUGCAUAAAAAUUUAAAAAGAUAAAUAAAAAAGUUGGAAGGAAAAUUAAGUAAAAAUCUUCAUAGUUGAAUUAUUUAUUUUAAACAUUAUGAAGGAAUUUCAAUCAAUUUAUUUUGUGUAUAACUUAUUUUAUUUGGUCGUACGAAAAAGAAAAAGAAAAUUAAAUAGUUAACAAUUUAGUAGUAUUAUUUAAGAAAAUGAUGUUUUUUAACCUACUUUUAUUUAAACACUCUCGAUAAAAUAAAAGUUUGCUUCAUUUGUUAUUUUUGACAACUCACCUUUUUAUUAUAUAGGAAGUCUUUUUAAUUAAUUUCAAAUUACUAUAAAUCAAGAAUUUAUUGGUGGAGGUGAUGGCCGGAGUUGGUCAACAGUCAUUUAGAAAUGUAAUUAAAGGUCGGUUGAUGGAUCCUUAGAAAUGACAACUAUAGUCUAAGGUUGGCCACCGAAGAUCAUCAAAUACAUUGUUAGAGAUUGGUAGAAGUUAGAAGGCAACGCUAGAAAAUUGGAGAGAAAUUAAGCUUUAAAACAUUCAAAAUAAUUCAUUUGUCCAUAAACCAACUUAUUUUGUAAGCUCAUUCUCUAUUUCAUGUUUAGGUGGUUGUCAUUCUUUUUCGAAACAACUUACCCUUUUAGUUAAAAAAUAUUUACACGUACAACAAAUAAUCUAAAAUUCUAUAUAUAUAUAUAUAUAUUUCCUAAAAAAAUAAAAUAAUUAAGUUUGUAACAAAAUUACGUCAACAUUAGAUUAGGGUAUAUGAUUUUCGUGCUCUCCUAUUAAAGAUGCAAAUCAUUAAUUUAAAGGCAAACAAAUUUGUCGUAUUAAUUAAAUAUAUUUGUUCUUAUACAAAUACACUUUUUUGAACAAUAAUUCAACCUUUACCUCUCAAUCCAAUUCAUUCCAUAAAAACAAAAACAAAAACUCUAAAUCCAAAUUCCUAAUUUGAAAAUUUGACCAAUUAACCUUAAUUGGAAAAAAUGGGGAGGAAUAAUCCUAAAAAUAACCAUCUUUCACAAUUACUGUUCAUAUUAAUUACAACGUUUCUUUGUACCAUUUUUUUGCCAAUUGGUUAAAACAUCGUUUUUUUUUUAAUUUAUUGGUUCAAUUUCAUUUCCGAUGGGUUCAAUAGAUCUUGAUAGUUUAAUGUUCAUUUAAAUUUUUUCAUCUAAAACAUGUUCAUCCAUUGUAUGACAUAAUUAAACCUAUUAUUGUUAUUGUUGUUGUUAUUUAUUUAAUCAAUUAAUGAAAAGGAAGAAACUAAAUUUAAAUGAUUAAUGACAUUAUAAUAUGUGUAAUCACUGACUUUGAAGUCCCAAAUUGAAACAGAAAGAAGAAGACACAACACCCUAUUUUUAUUGAAUAAAUCACACUAAAUUAAAAAAUAAUAAUCAUACAGCAAAAACAGAUCACUAACAACAAUGAAUCAUACAGUAAAGAGAUUCUAGAGAAUCUCCAUUUUAUUUUCCGAUCAAACUAACCUCUAAAUAUAAAAAUGAUAAUUAAUUAAUUAAUUAAUGUAUAUGAAUUAACAAUCCACAUUCGAUUUAAUUUAGAGCUUUAAGAGUGCAGGAAGAGAGAAGAAGAAGGAAGCAAAGAGCAGAGCCAUGGAGGUCGCAACAGGCAGGGACGACGCUGCUCCUCGGUCGAGCCCUGGCGCCGGCGCUGGAGCUUCCUGAGCGGAAACGAGGGCGGAGAAGAGAGCAACGAGGGCGAGGAAGACGACGGGGGAGAUCUUGGAAAUGGCCAUUGAAAUGAGGAAAGAAGAGAAGAGUAGAGGAGAAAGAAGAAUUGUGCGGGGGAAUAAUUAUGAUUUUUACUAUGUGAGGGGAGAGGUUAUUUAUAGUGAGGGGCAGGAUGGCGCGUGGAACCCACUGGGAUUAAGCGUCCAAUGAGGUGACGAAAAGUCGCGUGAGAAUUGUGGUCACGUGGAGGGUACGUGGAAUAUAAAAAUUGUAGACAAAUAAUAAAAUUCUUUACGUUUCGUACUACUAAUUGAUUAAUUAAUUCAAAUCCAUACCUAAGUCAGUAAUAGUAAUUAACUGUCUUAGUGACCAUCGUUUGUAUUUACGUGGAGGUUUAGGUUGAGUUGGUUCAAGAGAAUACUCAUUUUUAUAAUACAAUUUUCGUACAUAGGAUACACCUAUUUACCUACGUACUUUUAGAAAAAAAAAGACUAUUAAAACAGUAUGAUUCUAGAAAUUUUAAAUUUUUACUAAAGACACUUUGCCAAACAUUGUUUUUGUUUUCUUUAAAUAUGAUUCGGUUGAUUGAGUUGGUCAUAUGAGGGGAUUGUAGAAGUUGGCUAUCAAAGGUUGUUACCAUGAAUUUGAUUAUAAGAGGUGGUUAUUUGUCCAAAAUGGUCAUUUGAGAUGAGUGUCGGUGUUGGCUAUUACAAGUGGUUGUCUCACCAUAUAGUUAAUCAUUAAAGGUGGUUUUCGCCAAAGUUGUUGGAACUCGAAAGUGGUCGUUGGAGUGUACCAAUAUAAUCGUAUUAAGGAAUGGAAGGUCUACAAAUAAAAUGAGUGAAAACAUUAAAGAGUAACGGUUGAAUCGGUUAAAGUAAGAAAUUUCACUGUAGCAAAGUUUGAAGUGGAUGGAAAAAACCAUAAAAGUAGGUUUGUGUGUAGAAGGAGAAAACAACAAAAGAGGGAGAGAAGUUUGAAUUGAGGAAGAAAAGAAAGAAAACGCGGCGUUAGUUCAAAGGCAAUGCGCGGAGGGCAAAGUUGAGAUUUUAAAUUGGGUGGGGGAUGGGAGCUUUGAAGUUUGUUCAACCAAAACAGACGAAACGGCCAAGUGUGCUUUCCCCCCUCUUUUCUUCACUUCGAAUUCAUCUUUCUUUUUUCCUUUUAGUAGGUUUGUGUGUAUGUCUGACCUUCUUUCUUCUACUUUCCUCCAAAACGUAACCCCUUUUCACAUCUGACUUGGGACAAAUAUACAAUUCCUUUCCCUCUUCCACAAUUUUCAAUCUGUCUAAUUAAUUUAUUUUUAUUUUCUGAGUUUCAAAACGUUAUAUUUUUAGUUUUGUUUAAAUUUGACUGCCAAGUGCGUCAGUGAGUCAUGGGGAAUAGUAAAGGGUCUUUUCCACCCACCACAUUCUUCUACUCCUUUGGUUUGCUCAACUUUUAAUUGGUGGUGUCUUCCUUGUGAAAGUUACUUCAAACCCAGCUUGGAUUUCUGAAGCUUUUAAUGUAAAAACAAAGUGUUUAAAAAUAUAAUUUUCAUAUCUUAAUUGUUUUGCUCUCAAAACCACCACUGUGAGAUCAAUUUCAGUCCUAAAUCAUUCUAAUUCAGUUGCUCUCCAGAGUUAAUACAUCCUCCAUUUAUAGGGUACUCAUAAAAAACAUAGAUAAAUGACUAAGAUAAAAUUGAAAAAAAGAUUAAUGUGUUCUCUUUUAAAGCCAACAUGACUGGAAAGCUUUUAAGAAAAAAUAAAUGAAUGAAAACUUUUUAUAUUAAUUUAAUAAUUAAUUCAAACAUGCUAUAACUAUUUUUUUUUUUACAUUAUGAUUGAUGCAACAUUGGUCUUUUCAGAUCAAUAACAAUAAUGUUACAUAAACUAACCUUAUACUAAUUACAUUUACUAUUUUCAUCUGACUUGUUGUGUCAACAUUAAACCAUUACUUAUAAAUUUAGGACAUAAUUUCCAAUCUUGUUUAAUCCAAUUCCUAAUCUUUAACACUUCAAUUCAUAUGUAAUAAAUAUUUUAAAUUUUGUUACUUUUUCUUUUGGUAAAGAUAUUGUAUUUAAAGCCUAAGAAAGAAAAAAUGAACAUGUAACGUUAAAAGUUGACAUAGGAGAAGCAAUUAAAGUACACUGAAAUUUCAUUUAAAGUUGCAUUCAAAUCUAAAGGGGAAGAAAAAAGAAUCCAAGUUGUUAAUUAUUUGGUAAAAUUUUGAAUCUGCAACCCCACCAUCCACAUAUCAUCAAACGGCCCACGUAAGACUCGCUCAAACCAAUUACUUAAUUCAUUUUAACCCAAAAUUAGCAUCUUAAUCUCACCUAUAAAUAAUCUCAAUUACCAUUCAUUAUUCCUCAGGCAGCAAUCCAUCAAUCAAUCAAUCAAUCAAUCAAUCAAAGGCUUCUUCGGUUCGAUCGCUCUCAUCUCCACCGGAAGUGAGUUUUCUGCCGAAGAAAGCCAAUUCGCUCAACCCCAUCCCAUCAUCCUCAAUGGAAAUGAAGAAGAUCGCCUGCGCUGCUCUUUUCGCCGCCGCUGCCAUCAGCGCUGCCGUGGCUGCCGAUGAGUCUCUCUCUCCCGGCGCUUCUCCCGCCGCUGCCCCGGGGCCGAGCAGUGCCGCCUCCGCCGCUCUCCCCGUUCUCGGUGCCUCAGUUGUUUCCUUUGUUGCUGCUUACUUCUUGAACUGAAGCCCCGUCAUGGAGAGGGAGAUCAAUUAUUUCAAAUUUUAUGUUUUUUUCUUUCUUUUUUCUUUCUUUAAUGUGUUUAUUUUCCAUGGAUGAUGUGAUGUGACGAAUUGAAAACAAUAAUAAUAAAAAGGGAAUCCGGAUUCUUUAUAUUGUUUAUUUUCCAAAUUAUGUUAUUCUCAAUCUAUAUUUAUUGUUGUUGCUUUAUAAACAACUUUGAUGAGAAAAUGUUAAUAGUUGGAUUAUAAAGUUUAUAGUAAAUUAAUCUCUAUACAUUAUACUUGAACCACAAUUACCCUUAACUAGUCUACACAUCAUAGCUAAGUUGCAUCAUAAUGGGUGAUUUUUGUUGCUUUUGAUUCAUGAUUAUAGUCAUGAGAUAAAGAUAUACUUAAUUAGGAGAAUAAGAAG
rnacentral:lncRNA from 1 species